rnacentral:misc_RNA from 1 species
UACGCAGCUUGUGCUGGCGGUUGCACAGUCAGCUCUUUUUUUUUACACCCUUUACGGUGCUGACGACCCUGCUUUUAUCGUCUGUUUCUAGUACAACUGAGAUUCCCAGCUGCCCUCUAUCUCUACGUUGCCCCAAUCUACGUCCUCCCCCUUUUAGUAUUUGCUGCAUACUCUCUGUCUGGCUAUACGAAGGCGCGUACGUUCACCUUUUACCUCAACUAUAGAUCGAUCCUGGAUUUCGCCUCUGGGAGUGUAUGCGUCUGUGUGUCUCAACAUUCUCCUCAUUCAGUUUUAUCAUUUCUCUCUUAGGAGUUUAGCACAUUAGGCACCCUUUUUUUUUUUCGUUUUUGUUCUCCCGCUCUUGUGUUGCCGUUCGCCUUCUCGCAUGUUUCUUCUUGCUCUUUCUCGCUGCCACCUCUGUUCCCCUGUUCAAUUCUCUCAAAACAUCCCCAUUUGAGCACCCUGCACUCCCUGAAUUCCCCUCCUGCUCCCGAUACUCGUUUAUCUGAGCACUACUGCCCACACGAGUGUCCUCUCAGCAGCGUUGCUGUUCGACUCCGCUGCUCAUAGGUUCUCCUUGCGGAACGCCAGUAUCGCGUGGCUUUUUUCCCUUUUUCCUUUUUUCUUCGCUCUUUUUUUUCGGCCGCUACCAAGACUAGUUUUCUACAUCCCUUUUCCCUUUUUCUUUUUGAGUUGUCCCCCCCCCCACACACACACUGAGGGACUUUCACUCGUUUCCCACAUUUAGCUGUGCUUCUCGUCCGCAGCUUCUCGCACUUGGUGUGACUGCUUUGCCCGCUUGUUUCGUUGUUUUUCUCUGAUUGCCGUAGUGUGCGUUUUUUUUUGUACCUCCGCUCUUCGUCACCCCUUUCCCCUCUUUUCUUCUGUUUCUGUGUUUUAUAUCAUCGAAUCGACCAUGUCUCGAACUUCGUCAAUGUAUGUUUCACCCAAUCUGGGCCCCACCGCGCCGUGGGGUCAGCAAACAUCUACCGGCGUGUUUCGCCCGCCGCCAGCGAUCUCGCUUAACCCUAGCGCAACCAACGUGCCGCGGCACGAGGGUAAGACGGCGCCCCCAUGCUACUCUGCAGGCGGCGGCGUCGACACGACAGGCGAGCACGGGCCAGCACCUGGCCUCGUGCCUGCUCCCCCUUAUCCUCUAGGAACUGGUGUGCCGCACGACCGACACAGCGAGGUGGGCAGCCACAUCGACUCGUCGCCUCCGCUGCGGUCCACCAGUCCGCCCUUCUACACACAAAAUUACUACGGUAAAGUGCCGGCCUCGCUCGUGCCCGCCAAUGCACACGGAGUCGCAGGAGCCGCAAACGGGGACAGUGGUGUCAGCGCCAUCACGUACCCGGCGGGCCGAAUCAUGAAAAUGAUCUCCUACUCGGUGCACCGUGAGGAAGACGCGUUCCUGGCGAAGAAAGAGAGCAAUCGAGUGCUUGAGAAGGAGCUGCUGCAUGAGCAGGAGCUUCGGCGUGAGACCCAGCGCCAGCUGGAGGCUCUCGAUGAAAUGUUGCAGAUGCUUCACGAAAUCCGCGAAGCGCAGUCUAGGCUAGGCGCGAGCUUGGGGCUGACACUGUGAAGGAGAUGCGUUUUCCGUGACCUGCCGACACCUUAACACGCGCGCUGGAUGGCGCGAGAGCGUCAAAGGCGCUUUUCUGUAUUGUUUUCGGAUCGCUGGCCUCGGCGCAGGAGGCUAUGCCGAAAGCGCCCUGGCUCAUGCGCCACACUACCUACAGAGGGAAACGGAGAGAGAUAAGAGGAAAGAUGCAGAACCAGGGGAGGAGACGACUUGCACAACAAAAGAGGCGGAGUGCAACGGUAAGGAGUGACUUUCGCUUGUAAUUGAUGAGAAGGUGUAGAGGUGUUCCUCGUUGGCACAACCAACUCUCGCCGUGAUCUCCUUCCUGCCUCCUAUGAGCCCUGCUUCCACUCUCUCCCCUCAUGUCUUUCGACAUUCUCUUUGUGUGCAGAUGAGAAGUCGACGAAGGAAGCACAAGGAAAACGUUGUAGGUUCAAAGAAACAGCCAAGAAGCGGGGUGGUGUGCGCGGGCGCACGGUGUGGUACUGGCCCCAUGGAGGGGUUUUUUUCGCUGAGGAAGCGGCGUCACUAUCCAUCUGAGGCGCCUCCGAAGCCGCCGUCGCCGCUUGUGUCGUCAGUGCUGCAUUGGGUUUGCGCGCUUUGCUUCUUUUGUCCAUCUCUACUCCCCCUGUCCUGGAUGGCGCGGGGGAGGGGGGCACCUCAGCGCGUGGCAUCGCAGGGCCCAGUGCCCGCUCGGUGUGUGUGUGUGCGUGGGUGUGGGGUGCCAGACGCCCCCUCUUCCCCCUCUUAUCCCUGCCAAUGCCGAACCCCGCUUCUGGUCGUCGCAGGGUCGGGUGCCUAUGACGUAGCGAAGUCAGGGCUAUGCAUGGCUGCUCAUGUGGGUGGCCAGGUCCUGGCUGGCGUUGCGUCGGAGCGACCUGCGACCUGCGACCGUGGGCACGCCUGUGCCAUCCAUGCGAUAGGCAAGGUGUCAGCGUGACUCGAACGCAUCCGGCCCCCGGCCUGCGCUGCCUACUGGUGGGGAGCCUGGGCCGCCUUGAGGGAUGCACCAGGUGGUGACCGACACAAUGGGAACGUCUGUGAGGCGACCUACUCCGCGGGUGUGGGUAGGGUUUGAGGCAGGGGUUGUGCUCCGACGGCUGAGUCGGCGCAUCGCGGUGAAAACGCGGCUCUCGUGCUCCUUUGCACUAGGCGUAUAGGCCUGUGGCAGGCCGGGUAGAGUGGCGUUGGCGUCAUGCUGAAAGGCAGAACGGAUCCGUUGGAACCAAAAAAAAAUGUCUUCUGGCAAUGCGCUUAGCGUAUGCAUGCGUUUGCACGUGCAUUAGUAUCUGCAGGUGCGGAUAGUUUCUGCCCCACUUUAUGGAAGAAGACACUGCGCACUUCUUUAGAGUACCAAGGCGAUGUAACGGAUACGCUUUUGAUAUAUAUGAUCCUACACUGAG